AUGAGUUCCUCCCUCGUGGUCUCCGGCAAUGGCGACGAGGACGCCUGCGUGGGCGAGACCCCCGUCGUGGUCUCCGGCAAGGGCGAGGCCUCCGUCGUGGUCUCCGGCAAGGGCGAGGCCUCCGUCGUGGUCUCCGGCAAGGGCAAGGACGCCGUCAAGCCCUCAUGCACGGCGCAGUAUUCCUGCGUCAAGCGGCUUCGUGAGCGGCGCCUCCUCUCCUUCCUCCUGGACCAAGGCUUCCACGGCGCCUUCAGAGAGCUGACCCGCGAGACGGCGGCGCUGUUCGACAUGGAUCACAUGCGGUGGCUGGUCAGGCGGGGCCGGUGGUACGACGCCCUCUUUUACCUCAACAUCUUCCUGCCGCCGCUCAAAAGUGAGAGGAGGAGCCUCCGCGCCAGGAUCUUCCACAACUUCCUCCUCAUGCACGGUCGCUUCGCCGACGUCGUCGCCGGCAACAAGGACCCGUACCUGGACAAGCAGUAUGCCAACGGCCGCAGUAACUCCACAGACGCCGAGCGCAGGUUCCGUUCCAUGAACUACUCCAUACUCGCCCCGGACGCCGGCCAGCUCAGGGCUGCCAUCGACUGGGACAGAGUGAGGAGCCAUGCAGAGUUUGUUGUCCGCAGGAUGGCUCUUGCUACUCCAGAGCUGAGACGCCCGAUGGUGUUGCCGUCCCGCUGCAUGAUGCCGCACGAUGUACUCCCCAUUGGGACCGGUUUGUUCCGGAAGAGACGCGUGAAGAAACAAGGCCCCCAGCCGCCAAAAACAGAAGCUAUCUUAACAGCUUUGAAACACCAGCAGUAUUGCAGACAGUUAAGGGAUUCGAGCGUUGGGUCGAAAGAUGAAGAACUGGAACUGCUGGUCAAUUUCCUUGAUGAGACUCUACAGGCUGGCCUACCUAGAGGGUGCACACUAAGCUAUGACCUUCAACCAAGCGGGAAGGAAGUUGAACUUGCUGCAGAUUCUUCUCAUGCUCCGUCUGUGCAGACCAUGCUCGGCACAUCCACAGAUAAAGUUAAAGUCCAUGCCACAUCAUUAGUGAGAAUUUCUGGUGCUCCAAUCUGCCAGAUCAUUUCUCGUGCCUUGAAAGUUCAUGCCAAAAACCCUGGGAUAUUGUCACCGACAAAUGCAGGCACAAAGCGUCUAAUACAAGCAGGUUGUCAUGCUCGGAAUCAAAUGGGUGGACUGCGAACUGUUGAGGAUGAUAUUUAUCCAAAAAAGCAACGGACGGACGGGGCAUUUGAUGAAGCAAGUUCGGUUCCGGCGUUUGGAGGCAGAGUGUCCACCGACACCAGCACACUGGUGAACUUCCGGCCGAAGCUGAGGCCCGUCUGCUCCAUGUGA
rnacentral:rRNA from 1 species